rnacentral:rRNA from 1 species
GAUGAACGCUGGCGGCGUGCCUAAUACAUGCAAGUCGAGCGAACAGACGAGGAGCUUGCUCCUCUGACGUUAGCGGCGGACGGGUGAGUAACACGUGGAUAACCUACCUAUAAGACUGGGAUAACUUCGGGAAACCGGAGCUAAUACCGGAUAAUAUAUUGAACCGCAUGGUUCAAUAGUGAAAGACGGUUUUGCUGUCACUUAUAGAUGGAUCCGCGCCGCAUUAGCUAGUUGGUAAGGUAACGGCUUACCAAGGCGACGAUGCGUAGCCGACCUGAGAGGGUGAUCGGCCACACUAGAACUGAGACACGGUCCAGACUCCGACGGGAGGCAGCAGUAGGGAAUCUUCCGCAAUGGGCGAAAGCCUGACGGAGCAACGCCGCGUGAGUGAUGAAGGUCUUCGGAUCGUAAAACUCUGUUAUUAGGGAAGAACAAAUGUGUAAGUAACUAUGCACGUCUUGACGGUACCUAAUCAGAAAGCCACGGCUAACUACGUG